GUCAGAAUGGCCGAGCGGUCUAAGGCGCCAGACUUAAGCAUAAUUACUUGCCUGCUCUGUAGGUAAUGCAGAAUUCUGGUCCUCUCUGAGGGCGUGGGUUCGAACCCCACUUCUGACA
rnacentral:tRNA from 1 species